GAUGAACGCUGGCGGCGUGCCUAAUACAUGCAAGUCGAGCGAACAGAUGAGGAGUUUGCUCCUCUGACGUUAGCGGCGGACGGGCGAGUAACACGUGGAUAACCUACCUAUAAGACUGGGAUAACUUCGGGAAACCGGAUCUUAUACCGGAUAAUAUAUUGAACCGCAUGGUUCAAUAGUGAAAGACGGUUUUGCUGUCACUAAUAGAUGGUUCCGCGCCGCAUUAGCUAGUUGGUAAGGUAACGGCUUACCAAGGCAAGGAUGCGUAACCGACCUGUGAGGGUGAUCGGCGACACGGGAGGUGAGACAGGGUCCAGACUCCUACGAGAGGCAGCAGUAGGGAAUCUUCCGCAAUGGGCGAGAGCCUGACGCAGCAACGGCGCGUGAGUGAUGACGGUGUUCGGAGCGUGAAGCUCUGUUAUUAGGGGAGAACAAAUGUGUAAGGAACUGUGCACGUCUUGACGGUACCUAGUCAGGAAGCCACGGCUAACUACGUG
rnacentral:rRNA from 1 species